GGUUUCUUGGCGCAGUUGGUUAGCGCGUCUCCUUAACAAUUCUGGUCUUCUUCAGAUCGUUAGGGCUUACGGAGGAGGUCGCCGGUUCGAACCCGGCAGAAAUCA
rnacentral:tRNA from 1 species